GACGAACGCUGGCGGCGUGCUUAACACAUGCAAGUCGAACGGUAAGGCCCUUCGGGGUACACGAGUGGCGAACGGGUGAGUAACACGUGGGUGAUCUGCCCUGCACUUCGGGAUAAGCCUGGGAAACUGGGUCUAAUACCGGAUAGGACCACUGCCUGCAUGGGUGGUGGUGGAAAGCUUUUGCGGUGUGGGAUGGGCCCGCGGCCUAUCAGCUUGUUGGUGGGGUGAUGGCCUACCAAGGCGACGACGGGUAGCCGGCCUGAGAGGGUGACCGGCCACACGGGGAGUGAGAUACGACCCAGACUCCUACGGGAGGCAGCAGUGGGGAAGAUUGCACAAUGGGCGCAAGCCUGAUGCAGCGACACCGCGUGAGGGAUGACGGCCUUCGGGUUGUAAACCUCUUUCAGCACCGACGAAGCGCAAGUGACGGUAGGUGCAGAAGAAGGACCGGCCAACUACGUGCCAGCCGCCGCCGUAA
rnacentral:rRNA from 1 species